GAUGAACGCUGGCGGCGUGCCUAAUACAUGCAAGUCGAGCGAAGCGGGGACGGGUGAGUAACACGUGGAUAACCUCCUAUAAGACUGGGAUAACUUCGGGAAACCGGAGCUAAACCGGAUAUUUAUCGAUGGACCCGCGCUGCAUUAGCUAGUUGGUAAGGUAACGGCGUACCAAGGCAACGAUGCAUAGCCGACCUUAGAGGGUGAUCGGCCAAACUGGAACUGAGACACGGACCAGACUCCUACGGGAGGCAGCAGUAGAGAAUCUUCCGCAAUGGACGAAAGCCUGACGGGGCAACGCCGCGUGAGUGAUGAAGGUCUUCGGAUCGUAAAACUCUGUUAUUAGGGAAGAGGUACCUAAUCAGAAAGGCACGGCUAAAUACGUGGCAGCAGGCGGGGUAAUAC
rnacentral:rRNA from 1 species